GGAACCAUGAUUAGUUAUAAAAAUAGACCUUAUUUGGAAAAUAUUUAAAAACAACACAGUAAUACUGUAGAUUAUUUAGUUUUUAUAAAUUUUAAGAAAAUAUUUUCACAGAAAUGUCACCAUGUUGUUCACGCUGCAAUGCAUUCUGUGUAAAUGACUUGUAAUGGUCCAACUGCCUGGCUCCUUCAGCCAAAACAGUGAUAAGUAACGUAAUUAAGCCUUUUUAAUUUGAACCAGAGCGCACUGACAUAGAUCAGAAAGUAGAAAUAACAAGAGGUGAUGAUGAUGGGGAAGACCAAACAGAGGAAGAGGACAGAGUUGGCCGUAGGAGCUGCUGUUGCUGCCUUCAGCUUAAUAAAUAAAACAAUGAAUGACACAUAACUCUGGUCGGACUGUAUGAUCUGGUAAGUACUUCUGUAGUUCUGUGUCCAGUUAGGCAACAACUGCUUAGGGUCCAAACUUUGUUCGGUGUUGGUAGUGGUUUCACAAUACCGGUGUUCUAGCUCCAUUAGCAUUUCCAGUAGUGAUAACUCCAUUAGCGCUGCUUGUCUUUGACGUUUCUCCCAGGAUCUGUAGCGCUGUGUCCAGUUCGGCAACAUCUGUGCUGUUUAGAGUCCGGUGUGAUGGUAACAGCAACACCGGACUUUAUUACCACUGACACCAGACCUCCAUGGGUCCGGUCGGAUCGGUGGUUUCAGUACCGCAGGUGGUAUAGCUCCUGUUAGCAUCUCAAAGAGUGUCCAGCUCUGCCUACCUAGCACAGCAGCACUGCAUUUAUUUUUAACUCGUUAAGGUAACUGUCAGAGCCUUCGUUAGUUCUGUUGGUAUAAAUGACUCAAAGUGUUUUGGAGAAAUGUCCAGGGGACAGAUUAGGUCCUUCAUUGUGUUCCACUCUGGCUCUCACACUGCGCUCUCCUUUCUUUCAUGUGGGAAAUUAUAAAGACUCACCUCAAUUUUUAUUAUUAUUUUUUUAAUCAUAGCCGAUAGUGACACAAUGUUGAAUUAUCUAAUAUUACACCAGUUUGACUGGUGUGAUAUCAUAUUGCGAUAUCAACGCAAUAUGAUAAACAUUAACUCAGGAAAAGUUAGCCUUCCAGUGUUUCCUCUGUAGACUGCAGUACAGAAUGGACCAAAACGUGUCAUCAACCCAUUGGAGAAAAAAUGGCGACCUCCACGGGUGAAAACCAUAACAAAAGAUGUAAAUUUUUGAAGUAAUUCUGAGUUUUGGCGCAUCACAAACAGCAAUUUUUUAGGUAGUAGGAAAAUUGCAACAUAUUUAGGCCAAGAUGAUGAACCAACAUUACUGAAUGGUUUGGAAAUCUCACUGUUAAAUUAAAAGUCCAAAUUCAAAGUUUGGUGAAGAUGGCAAGUUAGAUCAUUCCUCUACACAAAAUCUGUUUGGGCAGGCUACCAUCAGGCAAGCUCAGAACAUCUUGUCGGACAGGUGACGUGCUCACAUCAGAAUAUAUUCUCGUGAAUCAGGGAGAAGGUUCAGGUUUCCUUUGCGUAAAUAACCGUCUGAAACAUUCAUUUGUACCACUCUUCAUUAGCCUGAUAAAUGGCUGACUAGCAGGGCCUGUACAGAGGCAAUGCUCACCGAAAAAGCUGUCGCAAAAAAAACAAAAACUGUUUUAAUAAUUUUUGUUUCACUGUAACAUUUGUGAAUAUCAAAUUUUGCUCUGUUUUUAUCAAGUAAUAAAACACAUUUGAACAGCCAAGCAGUGACUUUGUCAAGCAAAAAUACAUAUAUUGUACAUUUAAAUACUUUUGCAUAACCUGCACACUCAAACCCUUACGCUCACUUUAACUGAGUCCACACUUGAUAGAGGACUGUAUAAUACGCAGUGCGAGUAUUGGGCCAAAGAUCUGCAUCUCUAAUGUUUACAUGUUCUAAUGAGAAACAUCAAUUAUAUCAGCUCAAGAUAAAAGGUAAGCAUGUCUCUGAAAACAGUGGUGGUCAAGAAACAUCAUUUAAGAAAACAGAAAAAGGAUUAAAUUGAAAAAAAAGAAAAAAAUCAACCUCUUUUUGUAGUCCUGUCAGUUGAGCACUUAAGCUCUCGAUCCUCAGGGCAGAUUCUCUGAGCUCCUCUCGGGCCAUGAUAGCCGACGCUCCAUUCAUCUCUGACAGAUGAUGCAAGUCGUCAAGCUGAAGAAAGAAAUACAAUUGGAGAGCUGAAACAGUCAAAUGUCAACUUCUCAACCUGAAAGAGGAACUAAGACAUUCUUAUCAGGAAGUCUUAGUGGCUUAUCAGCCACUUCCUGAUAAGCAGGAAGUUUGUGCAUUUGGUUUGUUGUUGUAAAGAAACUUUCAGUUUUACUUCAUAUAAAUCUGUAUAGAAAUGCAUGAGGUGUAUAGAAAUGCAUGAGGUGAGGAGGAAUUAAACUGUUUUUUUCUGCAUACUUUAAAAAGCCUACCAAAAGUAAGUAUUAGCAAAUAGUUUUUAUCUACACUGUUCAUCCCCGAAGCAGUUAAGACUUUACUAUUAAAAACAAGUCCUUAUUCCGUCAUCAAAUCUUAAAGUGAACUUAUCAGCUCUAAUCAUGGAAAUAAUUGAAUGAAUAAAACAAUGCUCCGCUGAUUAUUUCAGGGUAGUGUUGUAUAAAUGAUCUUUUUCCAUCAUGAUUCCGGAAAGAACCAUGAUAACUUGCGGUUUGGCGCACCAGGGUGGUCCAUCAGCAGCCCACCUCAAAAAUGUUAAGGAGACCUGAGAGAAAGCUGAAAUCAGAAAAGUAGAAAAAAGCUAAUGCAAGAAAGAGCAGAAUAAGUGCACAAGAGACUAUUUGUUUUGUUUGCCAGGGGACAAG